CAGAGCAAGACUCCGUCUCAAAAAUACUAAAAUUGGAACGAUACAGAGAAGAUUAGCAUGGCCCCGGCGCAAGGAUGACACACAAAUUCGUGAAGCGUUCUAAAAAAAA